GAUGAACGCUGGCGGCGUGCCUAAUACAUGCAAGUCGAGCGAACAGACGAGGAGCUUGCUCCUCUGACGUUAGCGGCGGACGGGUGAGUAACACGUGGAUAACCUACCUAUCAGACUGGGAUAACUUCGGGAAACCGGAGCUAAUACCGGAUAAUAUAUUGAACCGCAUGGUUCAAUAGUGAAAGACGGUUUUGCUGUCACUUAUAGAUGGAUCCGCGCCGCAUUAGCUAGUUGGUAAGGUAACGGCUUACCAAGGCAACGAUGCGUAGCCGACCUGAGAGGGUGAUCGGCCACACUGGAACUGAGACACGGUCCAGACUCCUACGGGAGGCAGCAGUGGGGAAUCUUCCGCAAUGGGCGAAAGCCUGACGGAGCAACGCCGCGUGAGUGAUGAAGGUCUUCGGAUCGUAAAACUCUGUUAUUAGGGAAGAACAAAUGUGUAAGUAACUAUGCACGUCUUGACGGUACCUAAUCAGAAAGCCACGGCUAACUACGUG
rnacentral:rRNA from 1 species